UCCGGUUUGUCACCGGCAGUCUCAUUAGAGUGCCCAACUGAAUGUAGCAACUAAUGACAAGGGUUGCGCUCGUUGCGGGACUUAACCCAACAUCUCACGACACGAGCUGACGACAGCCAUGCAGCACCUGUGUUCCCGUUCCCUUUCGGGCACAGCCCCCUUUCAGGGGCCUCCAGGACAUGUCAAGGGUAGGUAAGGUGGGGAUGACGUAGAACGGUUGGUU
rnacentral:misc_RNA from 1 species